AGAGUUUGAUCAUGGCUCAGAUUGAACGCUGGCGGAAUGCUUUACACAUGCAAGUCGAACGAUGAACCCUAGCUUGCUAGGGGGAUUAGUGGCGAACGGGUGAGUAAUAUAUCGGAACGUGCCUUGUAAUGGGGGAUAACUAGUCGAAAGAUUAGCUAAUACCGCAUACGCCCUGAGGGGGAAAGUAGGGGAUCUUCGGACCUUACGUUAUAAGAGCGGCCGAUAUCUGAUUAGCUAGUUGGUGGGGUAAUGGCCUACCAAGGCGACGAUCAGUAGCUGGUCUGAGAGGACGACCAGCCACACUGGAACUGAGACACGGUCCAGACUCCUACGGGAGGCAGCAGUGGGGAAUUUUGGACAAUGGGCGCAAGCCUGAUCCAGCCAUUCCGCGUGAGUGAAGAAGGCCUUCGGGUUGUAAAGCUCUUUCGCAAGGGAAGAAAACUUACCAUCGAAUAAAUGGUGAGGCUGACGGUACCUUGAUAAGAAGCACCGGCUAACUACGUGCCAGCAGCCGCGGUAAUACGUAGGGUGCGAGCGUUAAUCGGAAUUACUGGGCGUAAAGCGUGCGCAGGCGGUUUGGCAAGUCAGAUGUGAAAUCCCCGAGCUCAACUUGGGAACUGCGUUUGAAACUGCCAGACUAGAAUAUGUCAGAGGGGGGUAGAAUUCCACGUGUAGCAGUGAAAUGCGUAGAGAUGUGGAGGA
rnacentral:rRNA from 1 species